CUGGAAUUUGAACUCACAUUCUUCUGACUUCCAGGCCUUGGGCUCUACCAGCUAGGCCUUGCCGCUUCUCCUGUCAGUAAUUUCAGGGCCUUGGCUGCAUGAGGAGAAAAGACAGAAGUCCAGCUUAUUUCUGCCUCCCUGGAGAAGCUUUCCAGACCGGCCCGCUCAGAGAUGAGGUAACUGAGGCACAGAGAAGUUAAGUGACUUGCCCAAAGUCACACAGCUGACAAGUGGUGUAUCCUAAGACCAAGGAAGGAGCCUGAGCCCCCGAUGAGUCAUGGGAGAC